CCCCCAUUGCCUUUUCGUCUCCAAAGAUUAGAGACCAAAAUCCCCUCCCCGAACCCUAGCCGCCGCCCUCCAUUCCCACCGCCCGAAAACCGGUGGCAACGAUGCCGAUGACCACCAAACUCACACCCCUCAAUAACCAAUCCCCCCUCAGUCCGAAUCCACGUUCAGUUUCCUUCAAAUUCUCAUAGAACCCUUUGAAUCCCAUGUUAGUUUUGUUCGAAUCUUGUUAUAGCCUUUCGAAUUUCAAAUAAAAUGCGAACCCUUAAAGGACAAAACUUUAGACUGUGUAAGAAGUUAAAAAUUUGAGGUUUUAAUCGAUUUUAGUCGAGUGUUCUCAGUCGAGAACACUCGAUUAAGGCCCGUUUUGGCCUCAAAAUUCAGAUUGAAGUUUCGACUAAAAAAGGUUUGAAUGGUUUGAAACUUCGAGGUAUUUCCGCUUCUUUAUUGCUUCUUUUGUUGUUGUUAAUGUUUGUUUUAUUAAUUUCGUUGUAAUUCAUCAUUUUUGUCAAAUUACUUCUUCCUCCUCUUUCGGACCUUUUUCUGGUCCAGUUUUCAUCAUUUGUUUGAACAGCAUAUGCUAUAAAAUAUCGAGUUGAUUAAAUAGUUUCGCCGAUUAGUCCAUCCAUGUUUGUAGUUUAGAAGUUCUCGUCAGGUUAUUUGAUAUUGAUUAUUUUAUUUUUCUGAUCCUUAGCUUCUCAGCGAUUUACUCUCAGUGUUCCUACAUUUUGUUUGAGAUUAAUUUAGAACUGUGAUUCAUUCUAAAUAUAGUUGGUUUAUUCCUAUGUAUCUGGACCAGUCAUGGUUUAAAAUUUGACCUUACUAGCUCAAUAUGAUUUUUGUUCUGAAUCAUUGGUCUUUAUUUUGAUGGUAUUUAAUCUGAUCUAAGUUUCUAGCUUGAAUUGCUGACUGAUUUUGAUGUGUUUAAUUGGUUAUAGCUGAUGUGUUUUGGUGCAGAUCAAAAGGGGAUUAAGUUAGGAUAGUAAUUUCAGGGAUUUCAAGGGGUAGUUUGGGAUUUAAAACCUAAAAAUGGUUCAGUUUAAAGUGGCCUGCUAGUAGAAUGUUCAGUGUGCCACUGAACCGUUGAAUAAUUUAAUCAAAAAGGGGAAUAAGGGGUUCGCCUAGUUCCUUUACUAAUUAAAAAUUAGAAACAGUAGGUUAAUAAUGACAAAGCUAAAAGGGUAUACAUAGUAAAGGAAUAUACAAACUGGAAAGUAAAACGUAUGGGGUAAUAAUAAAAUAUCGUUUUUACAAUUGUAAAGAAAAAAAUGGGCUGGAAAGGGUUUAAGGGUUGGGUAUAAAUAUAGUGAGUAAGAGUUUUAGAGGGGAUGAGUCCUUUGGAAAGUUUGAGAGAGUUAAGAGAACUUGAAAAGCGAAAAAUAGAAACAUAUGUCUUUAAUCAGUCGGAGAGAGCAUUUUUGAGAGCUAGGAAAUAUCAGUUCUUGAGAACUACUAGGAUUAGUUUUUGAACAUCAUUUUGAAAGGGUUCUUAGGCAGUCUGGUAGAGCUUGAAAACACUUGAAAAAUACUAGUGAGUUUUGAGUCAGUUGUUGAGUGUUGAAGAAAAACAAAGAGAGUAUAAGUUGAACAUUGUUCCAUUGAAUUUUUUUUUCAAUUUCGAGAUUCAGUAUUUGAUUUUGAUCUUCCCUCCUAAUUUCAAUUGACUGGAACUUUUUCUGAGAUCUGUUGGUCCAGUUUGGUUUAAUUCAAGUUCAGUUGAGUCUUUUUGGGUGUUGACUAUUGUUGUUGGGUUUUACAAAUCAUUUCGUGCUUUGUUUGAGUGUGUUUCUAGUUUGGAAUUGGUGCUGGCGUUGAUUUGAAUUUGAUUGACUGUUGUUGUGACCUGUUGUGCCAUUUGUUCAGUCUGUAGCUGACCUCCCUUUCUUCUUUUUCUUUUUCUUCUUCUUCUUCUUCUUCUUCUAUUUCCAUUAUCCAGGUACACAUUUUGAACUUGAUUCAAUGUAGUAUCAUCAGUUGAUAAUGAAAUAUGAUGGGAGCAUGAUUUUUAUAUAGUUUACCAAAUCAUUGUGGAGUUUUUGUAUUGAGGUAGUUCUGUACCGAUUUGAAUCUGAAAUGCUAAUGUAGUUUUGGAUCUUAAUUAUGAAUAGUAAAACAUAAGGCUUGUAUAAUUGGGAUUGUUUUCAAGUGGAUUUGGACUGUUUAAUUUUGUGGACUGUAUCUGGGCUGUUAGGAUUAUUGCAGUUGGUGGCCAUCUAGCUUUAGCUUCAGUGCAAUUGAUACUUGGUUAGUUUAGCAUUCUGUUUAAAGGGGGAUCCUAAAUAGCUUUAGCUUCAGUGCAAUUGAUACUUGGUUAGUUUAGCAUUCUGUUUAAAGGGGGAUCCUAAAUAGCUUUAGCUUCAGUGCAAUUGAUACUUGGUUAGUUUAGCAUUCUGUUUAAAGGGGGAUCCUAAAUAGCUUUAGCUUCAGUGCAAUUGAUACUUGGUUAGUUUAGCAUUCUGUUUAAAGGGGGAUCCUAAAUAGCUUUAGCUUCAGUGCAAUUGAUACUUGGUUAGUUUAGCAUUCUGUUUAAAGGGGGAUAAUAAAUAGUAUAGAUUCCAUGUUGAUUUUGAUUUCAAGUUGAAAGUAUAUCUCCAGUAGCUUGGAACCGCAAUAGUUAGCUAAUAGAUUGUUAGUGGUUUAUCUUAGUUGUUAUACAAUCAGAUAUGAGUAGAGUAUGAAUUCGGGCUAUUUAUUUAUUCCUGACGGUAUUAGUAAAAAAAUGAUUAAGCUACUGAUCUAUUCAUUUGAGAAUUAUGGUCAUAGGAUAUUGAUAACUAAUUCAAUUCACAUUUCUAUUUUACCUUUCACUUUUAGUAGUACUUAACCAAUAACAAAGAAAUAACGUGACUGAAGCCUUGAACUGGCGUAAAGCCAACCAGCUUAAGGCAAUUUCAAUAGGCAUUGGGUUGGAUUCAAUUGUGACUACAUUUAACAACCAGUCUGUUUGCAGGCCGUUGGGACUGAAUGCAUUAAACAGGCGACCCAGGUCUCAUUUCGGUCCAAUAUUCAUUUGGACCGGGCC
rnacentral:lncRNA from 1 species